rnacentral:rRNA from 1 species
AGGACGAACGCUUGCGACGUGCAUAAGAAAUGCAAGUCGAACGGGGUAGCAAUACCUAGUGACGAACGGUCGCGUAACACGUGGGCAACCUGCCCUGAAGCGGGGGACAACAACUCGAAAGAGUUGCUAAUACCGCAUGUGGAUCGCUCUGGCAUCAGAGAUUAUCCAAAGCCUUCGGGCACUUCAGGAUGGGCCCGCGGCCUAUCAGCUUGUUGGUGGGUAAUGGCCUACCAAGGCGACGACGGGUA